GACGAACGCUGGCGGCGUGCUUAACACAUGCGAGUCGAACGGAAAGGCCCUGCUUGCAGGGUACUCGAGUGGCGAACGGGUGAGUAACACGUGGGUGAUCUGCCCUGCACUUCGGGAUAAGCCUGGGAAACUGGGUCUAAUACCGGAUAGGAGCCAUUUUUAGUGUGAUGGUUGGAAAGUUUUUUCGGUGUAGGAUGAGCUCGCGGCCUAUCAGCUUGUGGGUGGGGUAAUGGCCUACCAAGGCGGCGACGGGUAGCCGGCCUGAGAGGGUGGACGGCCACAUUGGGACUGAGAUACGGCCCAGACUCCUACGGGAGGCAGCAGUGGGGAAGAUUGCACAAUGGGCGCAAGCCUGAUGCAGCGACGCCGCGUGGGGGAUGACGGCCUUCGGGUUGUAAACUCCUUUCGCUAGGGACGAAGCUUUUGUGACGGUACCUAGAUAAGAAGCACCGGCUAACUACGUG
rnacentral:rRNA from 1 species